UGAGGAAUAUUGCGCAAUGGGGGAAACCCUGACGCAGCGACGCCGCGUGGAUGAUGAAGGCCUUCGGGUCGUAAAAUCCUGUCAGGUGGGAAGAAAUGUCAUAUCUCUAAUAUAGUUAUGAUUUGACGGUACCACCAAAGGAAGCACCGGCUAACUCCGUGCCAGCAGCCGCGGUAAUACGGAGGGUGCAAGCGUUGUUCGGAAUUACUGGGCGUAAAGCGCGCGUAGGCGGCUUUUUAAGUCAGAUGUGAAAGUCCACGGCUCAACCGUGGAAGUGCAUUUGAAACUGGAAAGCUUGAGUAUUGGAGGGGGUAGUGGAAUUCCCGGUGUAGAGGUGAAAUUCGUAGAUAUCGGGAGGAAUACCGGUGGCGAAGGCGACUAUCUGGCCAAAUACUGACGCUGAGGUGCGAAAGCGUGGGGAGCAAACAGGAUUAGAUACCCCCGUAGUCC
rnacentral:rRNA from 1 species